rnacentral:rRNA from 1 species
CCUACGGGUGGCAGCAGUGGGGAAUAUUGGACAAUGGGCGAAAGCCUGAUCCAGCCAUGCCGCGUGUGUGAAGAAGGCCUUCGGGUUGUAAAGCACUUUCAGUGGGGAAGAAAGCCUUGGGGUUAAUACCCUCGAGGAAGGACAUCACCCACAGAAGAAGCACCGGCUAACUCCGUGCCAGCAGCCGCGGUAAUACGGAGGGUGCGAGCGUUAAUCGGAAUUACUGGGCGUAAAGCGCGCGUAGGCGGUCUGAUAAGCCGGUUGUGAAAGCCCCGGGCUCAACCUGGGAACGGCAUCCGGAACUGUCAGGCUAGAGUGCAGGAGAGGAAGGUAGAAUUCCCGGUGUAGCGGUGAAAUGCGUAGAGAUCGGGAGGAAUACCAGUGGCGAAGGCGGUCUUCUGGACUGACACUGACGCUGAGGUGCGAAAGCGUGGGUAGCAAACAGGAUUAGAUACCCUAGUAGUC